UACGUAGGAUGCAAGCGUUGUUCGGAAUUACUGGGCGUAAAGCGCGUGUAGGUGGCGAUGUAAGUCGGGUGUGAAAUCCCUCAGCUUAACUGAGGAAGUGCACUCGAUACUGUGUCGCUUGAGUGUUGGAGGGGAUGGCGGAAUUCCCGGUGUAGAGGUGAAAUUCGUAGAUAUUCGGAGGAACACCAGUGGCGAAGGCGGCUCACUGGCUCGGUACUGACGCUGAGGUGCGAAAGCGUGGGGAGCAAACAGG
rnacentral:rRNA from 1 species